rnacentral:siRNA from 1 species
GUUACGUCAUGGGGAAGGUUGU